AUAAAGUGGCUCAGGUUGUGCAAUAUUAUAACUGUAGUGCAAGUUUACAGUGAGGUAAUUGUACUUAUAGGUGCAAACAGUUCUACAAGGAGCGCUUGAUGGACUAAUUUGAGUGCAUUUAAAGCUCUUGGGAUGAAACUGUUUCUGAGCCUCAAGGUCCUACAGGAAAGGCUCUGAAGCAUUUGCCAAAUGGGAGAAGUUCAAAUAGACUGUGGCUUGGAUGAGUGGAAUCCUUGCAGAUGCUGGUGGCUUUCCUGAUUUACAAACCAACAAAACCCAUUUCGGCAUUAGAUGGUGCUGGAGCCUAUUUCCGGCAACAUUGAAUGAAAAAGAAAGAACCAGCCCUGGUCAGGGCACCACCAUCACAGGGCAGCUUAUGUGCAUACCUACUUGGCAGUCAUUCAGAAAAAUAAUGGAUUAGAAGUCAUCAUUUUGGUAUGUUGUUGAUGGACAGAGCUAAAGGUCUGAGUGGUAAUUGAUUUUUUUUUUCAUGACAUUAUUAUUAGUAGUUCCAUUUUGCUCCUACCUACUUUCUCUUUCUCCCGCAAGAGGUUCCAUUCCACUCCUUAUCACUUUCCCCUUUAAAAUGCCCUUGAAACAGACACAAAUUGAUUCUUGUAACAGCAGAAUCUUAAAGGAAAAAAAACACACAAGUGUGAGUAAAUGUGUUCUUGACUUUUUAUGGUACAAUAAUAAUUCACCUGUUCCUACCAUUUUCAAAAAAAAAAUAUUAGAUGAAUAAAUAUACAGUGACUAGAUGUCAUCUUUUUGACACCUACAAUAGCAGUCUGGUUGAUAUUUAAAAAAUCCCAAAAGUUGUCUGGGAUUUUGUCUUGAUCGUUGGUUAGUUUGUGUUAACAAACAGACUUAUGUGUUUUGCCCCAUUCAUGUGCGUAAGGUGUAUGUGAAACUGCAACUUGUGUAUCUCACACAAAGCACCAAGUUUUCUUAAAAGCACACAUGGCAGUUUUACUUCAGUGACGACUAGGAGGACUAGCAAGAGUAACCAACUACUUGAUGAGGCUUGUUUCAAAAUGGUUAAUCGCAACUGAUUAUUUUUAAAGCCAAAAAGGACUUCUUGUAAGAUACAAUGCUUGUAGCUGUCUGCAUUUCUCCUUUAGAUGUUAAGGUGUCUGAUAUAUACAAAAAACUUUCUAAUAUCAGAAUAUUUUUGUAUUUCGUUUUUGCUAUUAUGAAAAAGAAAUGGUAAUCUUAAAAGGUUAACUAACUGAAUGUAAAAUAAGGCAUCUAAAUGGAUUGAAUUGUUUGGUUAGAAAGUGAAUAAAGAUCCAUUGUAUAUGAA